rnacentral:rRNA from 1 species
UACCCCCCCCCGGGGGGGCGAGUGCAGUAGUCAUAUGCUUGUCUCAAAGAUUAAGCCAUGCAUGUCUAAGUACAUGCCGUAUCAAGGCGAAACCGCGAAUGGCUCAUUAAAUCAGUUAUGGUUCCUUGGAUCGUACCUUACUACUUGGAUAACUGUGGCAAUUCUAGAGCUAAUACAUGCAGCAGAGCUCCGACCUUCGGGGACGAGCGCUUUUAUUAGAACAAAACCCCAUUCGGACCUCGUGUCCGUCUCUUGUGGUGACUCUGUAUAACUUUGGGCGGAUCGCACGGGCCUGUCCCGGCGACGUAUCCUUCAAGUGUCUGCCUUAUCAACUUUCGAUGGUAGGUUACGCGCCUACCAUGGUCGUAACGGGUAACGGGGAAUCAGGGUUCGAUUCCGGAGAGGGAGCCUGAGAAACGGCUACCACAUCCAAGGAAGGCAGCAGGCGCGCAAAUUACCCAAUCCCAGAACGGGGAGGUAGUGACGAAAAAUAACAAUACGGGACUCUAUUGAGACCCCGUAAUUGGAAUGAGUACACUCUAAAUCCUUUAACGAUUAUCCAUUAGAGCACCAGUCUGGUGCCAGCUCGCGCGGUAAUACCAGCUCUAAUAGCGUAUAUUAAAGUUGUUGCGGUUAAAAAGCUCGUAGUUGGAUCUCAGUUCCAGACGGGUGGUCCGCCUACCGGUGGUUACUGCCUGUUCUGAACAGCCAGCCGGUUUCUCUUGAUGAUCUUCACCGGUUGUCUUGAGUGACCGGCAAGUUUACUUUGAAAAAAUUAGAGUGCUCAAGGCAGGCGUGACGCCUGAAUAAUGGUGCAUGGAAUAAUGGAAUAGG